AUUGAACGCUGGCGGCAUGCCUUACACAUGCAAGUCGAACGGCAGCGCGGGGCAACCUGGCGGCGAGUGGCGAACGGGUGAGUAACAUAUCGGAACAUACCCUAGAGUGGGGGAUAACGUAGCGAAAGUUACGCUAAUACCGCAUACGCACUAAGGUGGAAAGUGGGGGAUCUUCGGACCUCAUGCUCAUGGAGUGGCCGAUAUCUGAUUAGCUAGUUGGUGAGGUAAAGGCUCACCAAGGCGACGAUCAGUAGCUGGUUUGAGAGAACGACCAGCCACACUGGAACUGAGACACGGUCCAGACUCCUACGGGAGGCAGCAGUGGGGGAAUUUUUGGACAAUAGGGCGCAAGCCUGAUCCAGCAAUGCCGCGUGCAGGAUGAAGGCC
rnacentral:rRNA from 1 species